UACGAAGGGGGCUAGCGUUGCUCGGAAUCACUGGGCGUAAAGCGCACGUAGGCGGAUUGUUAAGUCAGGGGUGAAAUCCUGGAGCUCAACUCCAGAACUGCCUUUGAUACUGGCGAUCUUGAGUCCGGGAGAGGUGAGUGGAACUGCGAGUGUAGAGGUGAAAUUCGUAGAUAUUCGCAAGAACACCAGUGGCGAAGGCGGCUCACUGGCCCGGACUGACGCUGAGGCACGAAAGCGUGGGGAG
rnacentral:rRNA from 1 species